rnacentral:rRNA from 1 species
UACGGAGGUCCCAAGCGUUGUUCGGAAUUACUGGGCGUAAAGGGAGCGCAGGCGGACAGGUCAGUCUAAAGUGGAAUCCCGGGGCUCAACCUCGGAACUGCUUCGGAUACUACCUGUCUUGAGUUCGUGAGAGGAAAGCGGAAUUCAGGGUGUAGCGGUGAAAUGCUUAGAUAUCCUGAGGAACACCAAUGGCGAAGGCAGCUUUCUGGCGCGAUACUGACGCUGAGGCUCGAAAGCGUGGGGAGCGAACGGG